rnacentral:lncRNA from 9 species
UUUUUUUUUUUCUUUUUUUUGUUUUUCAGCUGCACCCACAGCAUCUGGAAGUUCUCAAGCCAGGGACUGAAUCUGAGCCACAGCUGCAACAAUUCCAGAUCCUUUAAUCCACUGUACUAAGCUGGGGAUUGAACCUGUGCCUCCACAAAGACAAGCUGUAUCAUUAACCCCCUGUGCCAAAUUGGGAAUUCCUUCUUAAGGGAAAUAGGUUUAUAUGUACUUAUAAUUAGUCUAGAUUCUAAAUGAUGUGAAUGGAAAGAAUAUUAUUGUAAUAUGUUAAGAAUCUGCUAUAAUAAUUUUUGGAGGGCAAAAAUACUUACGGAGCGUAGCACCAUCUAAUGUUAUGCUGCUUAGUGAAGCACUAUGUCUUGAUAAUAAAUCAUUGGAAUGAAAAGCAAGAGAUGGACUUUGUUGUGAGAUUUUCUUUUGGUAAUUCCUCACCUAUUCCUACUAGGAAUAGAGCCAAUAUACUAGAUGGACUUUGUUGUGAGAUUUUCUUUUGGUAAUUCCUCACCUAUUCCUACUAGGAAUAGAGCCAAUAUACUAGAGCUACCUAGGGUUGCUCUUUACUGCCUUAGCUUUAUCAGCAGAAAGAAUACAAAGUAUGAUUGAGAGCAGUUUUAUCUUCUAUUUAACUGUACCUGAUUAAAAUACACAUAUAAUUAGAAGUUUAUUUCUGUAAAGAGUUAUUAAAAUGGAUAUUUUCAUGCCAUUUAAAACAUAAUAUAUUCUACAGAAGAAUAAUAUUUUUGUGUUGAAUUUUCAUGACAUGAAUUUAUUUAAACUACUAAAUUCUCAAACACUGUGAAGCAUGCUGGGUUAAUUAGCACUAAAGAGCAAAAUAUCAUUAUGCAUUAUUUAAAGUAGAAUCUUCAAACUAUUGUGGUGAGAUUUAUGUACUAGUACGUUUUUGAGAAAUAUAAUUUAAUGCUGCUACAGAGUAUAAGUGAUAUAAGGUAAAUUGAAUCAUAAAAUAAAGCAGCUUUUUUUUCUCCUCAGUAUUUAUGAAAAGUACAAGAGAAAGAAACAAUAAUUUACUUGAAAGUUUUUCUUUUUCUUAAUGAAAAAAGUCAGAAAUAGAAAGACAAAUACGAUAUGAUAUCACUUAUAUGUGUAAUCUAAAUUAUGGCAUGAAUGAACCGAUCUACAAAACAGAAACAGAUUCGCAGACAUAGAGAACAGACUUGUGGUUGCAAAGGAGGAGGAGAGAGGGAGUGGGAUGGAUGGGGAAUUUGGCGUUAGUAGAUACAGACUAUUACAUUUAGAAUGGAUAAGCAAUGAGGUCCUCAUAUAUAGCACAGGGAAUUAUAUCCAAACUCUUAAGAUGGAACAUGAUGGAAGAUAAUAUGAGAAAAAUAAUGUAUGUAUAUGCAUUACUGCGUCACUUUGCUGUACAGCAGCAAUUGACACAACAUUGUAAAUAAACUAUACUUUAAUAAAAAUACACACUAAAAAUAAAAAAAAUUGCUGCAAAUGGCAUUAUUUUGUUCUUUUUUCAUGGCUGAAUAUAUUAUAGAAAACUGUCUCUUAGCACAUCAGAGGGAGCCUCUGAGAGAAUACUACUCCAUCUCCACCACAGUGUAGAAUCUUUGAUACUUGAUAUUGUUUAUGGAAUUUCAUAAAUUUUUACAUCAAACCUUUCCAGACAAAACAUGGCAAAAGUGUAUCCAGUUCAUUUACCUCCUCAUCUGUAUGGGCACAUAAUCUUACACAGUAAGUGAUCAAAAAUAUCAAUUGAAUGAAUUUUUGUAGGAUAUUUGUAAAAAGUAGAAUUUUCCAACGUAUUCUUUUUCUCCAUCUGGGAAGAGAGGUUUCUAUUUCUAAUUCAGCUCAAUUUGAAUAUGGAGUAAUUUAAAUAGGAAUCUCUCUGCUUGAGAUGGAUCAUGGAUUUCCUCCUCAGAGUGGUAUGAAGACACUUGUUUUUUUCCUGCCAAGGAUUUAAUUAGAAUCAUGUUAUAGGGAUUUGGAUGCUUAUCUGAUGACAUUCUCUACUAUCCCAGCAUUCUGCAAAUUGAUUGGGGCAAUACAACAUUAUUCUGAGAAGAAAUCCUCAUUUGGAUUCCCCUGGGCCUCAUUUCUUCCAAACUGAAUACUACCAACACAGUAACCUCAUACAGGUGGUUACUGCUUUGGUUCUGCUGAUGUUUGUGUUGUGAUGCUUAGAAGGAGAGUGGGAGGACAGAGAAAACAUCUAGAGAGUUAAUGACCAAACAUGGAUAGUGGGACAUGCCAUAGAGAGGGCAGGUUUCAGAAGAGCCUGAGUGCACAUAGAUGCACACCUUGCAGUACUAAGACCUUAUCUAGUUUCCACACUUGUCCUCUCACCAAGCUGCACACUCUCAGAAUGAGACCUUGUCUGCUGUUUCUCUCUUUAUCCCUUAACCUUUAUCCCUUCUCUGGUCAUUUUCAUCUGCUGAAGGUAACUGGUACUCUGUGGGCCAACUUCCUUUAAAAUCAACAAAUCUGAUUUGACAAUCAUGUCUUUAGCAGAAAAUACAGAAAAACAAGUCCUAUUUCAAGUUUCUUUAAUAAAAAAUCACUGUCUGCCUACUGUGUGUAAAGCACUUUUACAUAUGGUGUCAAAUUUACUUCUGGGUGGUCAAUCCCCAUUUGAUAUAAAAAUGAAUACUCUCACGUAUUAAAUCAUUAGUAACUUUAGCAAAUAAAUAUUAGUAUUGGGGUUCAAACCUUUGUCUACUUGAGCCAAAGUUUGCACAGGGCAAAAUAGGAAAAAGCAAAUACCAGCAUGUAAUUAUUAGCAG